UACGAAGGGGGCUAGCGUUGCUCGGAAUCACUGGGCGUAAAGGGUGCGUAGGCGGGUCUUUUAAGUCAGGGGUGAAAUCCUGGAGCUCAACUCCAGAACUGCCUUUGAUACUGAGAAGCUUGAGUCCGGGAGAGGUGAGUGGAACUGCGAGUGUAGAGGUGAAAUUCGUAGAUAUUCGCAAGAACACCAGUGGCGAAGGCGGCUCACUGGCCCGGUACUGACGCUGAGGUGCGAAAGCGUGGGGAGCAAACA
rnacentral:rRNA from 1 species